rnacentral:snRNA from 1 species
AGCUUUUGCAUAGUGGCAGUAUUGUAGCCAAUAAGGUUUACCCAAGGCGCAAUUAUUACUAAUUGAAAACUUUUCCCAAAACA